ACACAUCCGCAGCCUCAACAACGUCAACCCAUAACAAGAGCGAAACCAGAAACUCCAGCAGUACGCGACUUGUCCAAAACAGCCAUGCAGUGCGCCCAUCGAAUUGAGUCUCGCACGUGUCUCUCUCCCUCGACCUGAUCCUCUUGAAAAUUGGAGGACAAGGCCAGGUGUCUCCAUCUCCUUACAAGCUCGUUCUUGGCUAAAAAUCAGACGACUCUCCCCUCUUUAAUUUCUAUUUGAAAAUGGUAUGAAUUCGUACACCCUCCAGCUCACCCACCCUUAUCUUUGCUAAUUUUUGAAUUUGGGAUUCUCCCACAUAGUGUCUAACAAGAAAUUUCCCCAAAACUCUCUUAUAUAAAUCCCUUUCUUUUCACUGUUCAGAGGAGGAUUUUCGGAGACCAAAGAAUACCCAAAAAUUUUUGGGAAUUCUUGGUUCCACAAUUAAAAUUUUAAAACAUUUUGUGGCUUUUUGAGUUAAAGAGGUGGAAUCGUUUCCAAACUCGUUGUCCCCAUUUGCUGCUCAGCACAAAGUUUUCUUCAACUCUAUUGGAAAAUUAGAAUACCCCUUUUGUUUGAUUGUCAAUAUUUACAGUAAGUUGAAAUUAGAAUACCCCUUUUGUUUGAUUGUCAAUAUUCACAGCAAGUUGUGGAUGAUUAAUGUUCAAGUUUGUCACUUUAAUCUCAGAAAAUGUUUUGUAGCUUUAAAAAAAAUUAUCCUUUCGUUUCAUGGUCUCGCCUCUUUCACUUCCCACGUCAUUUUGUCCCUCUGAUGGCAUUAUUCUAUCUCCUUAUUUGUGAAAUUUGGUUUGAGAUGAUUAGCUUUUCGUAGUUGUGUUGCUUAUAUGGUUGUUGAUUAAAUUAUGGUUGGACUGGUCAUGAUAGUUCUGACCAGUUUAUUGUGCUUACAUGUAAGUGUUAGUUGGGUGUAAAUGGAGCCAGUAGCAGCUUGUUUGGAUUGUUAUACUUACUGUUUGAAUUAGUUUUUUGGUUGUUUCAUUGUUUGUUUAAAUUAUGAUCAGUUGGCGACUGAAAGGGUGCAAAACUCUAUGUUCUAUAACCUUUGUGCCUCUUCCGUGUAAUUGUUUAAGUUAGAGUAUGACAUUCAUAAUUAUUUCCAUUGCACUUCGUUACUUGCUCAAAUUUCUUAGCAACACCAUGUAGUUAGGAUGACUACGGUUAAGUUACUUUAUUAGUUUUAAGAAAUCAUAUUUUAUUACUUUAAAAAUAUUGUUCACUGUGUUUUGGAUUUUUACAUGAUGAUAACUAGAUCGUUAAUUUGACUUGAUAUUAUUCAUAUUGAGGUUCUUAUUUUACUCUUUUCUUUUCCUCCUUUUUCAUGAACACGCUUUCCGUGAAUGAGUCCAAUGGACUCCCUUCUCUUGCAUUUUCCUCUUUUUGAGUCAACCUUCUUCGGAGUUGUGAAAGGGAGCUAAUAUUAUUCGUUUGGACACCCAAAAAUACAGCAGCAGCAGUAGCCUAAAUGGCUAAAAUAAUAGCAUUUUAUCGUACUUGAAAAGUCCCAAAAAUUGCAGUAAUUGAGGCAGAGUUACGAUAACCUCAAAAGGCUGAAAAUGAGGAGCAAAUUUGGGUUAAAAUUCCUAAUUAAUGAAGCAGCAGCAGCAGCCUUAGAAAGGCUAAAUUUUUUUUUUGAAAGUUUUGGACUUUCAAAAGGCCAAGCUAAACGGCAGCAGCAUCAACCUGAAGGGCUGGACUUGGGGGUGAAAUAAAAUUUCAGCCGCCCCCUCGUUUUCUUAUUCUCUUAUUUGCCUUGAUAUUAGUAUAUUUUCUUUAUUAUAUUUGAUUGUGAAAAACUAACAACUUUAAAAUUCUCUUCUUGACUUAGAUAAAAUUCCCACGGAGCUCCUCGAGUUUAGUUUA